GCCAUGCUGAGGAGUCCCAUACUAGGACGAAACGGCCGUCCAGCGC
rnacentral:hammerhead_ribozyme from 1 species